rnacentral:rRNA from 1 species
AUUGAACGCUGGCGGCAGGCCUAACACAUGCAAGUCGAACGAGUGGCGGACGGGUGAGAAUAGUGUGUGAGACUGCGCGAUGUGGGGGGAUAACUACUCGAAACGCUAGAUAAAAUCGCACAUGCUCGCAUGUGUCCAGAUGGGAUUUGCUAGUAGGUGGGGUAACGGCGCACCUAGGCGACGAUCCCUAGCUGGGCUGAGAGGAUGACCAGCCACACUGGAACUGAGACACGGUCCAGACUCCUACGGGAGGCAGCAGUGGGGAAUAUUGCACAAUGGGCGCAAGCCUGAUGCAGCCAUGCCGCGUGUAUGAAGAAGGCCUUCGGGUUGUAAAGUACUUUCAGCGGGGAGGCGUUACUCGCAGAAGAAGCACCGGCUAACUCCGUGCCAGCAGCCGCGGUAAUAC